rnacentral:rRNA from 1 species
UGGGGAAUUUUGGACAAUGGGGGCAACCCUGAUCCAGCAAUGCCGCGUGUGUGAAGAAGGCCUUCGGGUUGUAAAGCACUUUUGUCCGGAAAGAAAACGCCGUGGUUAAUACCCGUGGCGGAUGACGGUACCGGAAGAAUAAGCACCGGCUAACUACGUGCCAGCAGCCGCGGUAAUACGUAGGGUGCAAGCGUUAAUCGGAAUUACUGGGCGUAAAGCGUGCGCAGGCGGUCCGCUAAGACAGAUGUGAAAUCCCCGGGCUUAACCUGGGAACUGCAUUUGUGACUGGCGGGCUAGAGUAUGGCAGAGGGGGGUAGAAUUCCACGUGUAGCAGUGAAAUGCGUAGAGAUGUGGAGGAAUACCGAUGGCGAAGGCAGCCCCCUGGGCCAAUACUGACGCUCAUGCACGAAAGCGUGGGGGAGCAAAACAGGAUUCAGAUACCCUGGUAGUCCACGCCCUAAACGAUGUCAACUAGUUGUCGGUCUUCAUUGACUUGGUAACGUAGCUAACGCGUGAAGUUGACCGCCUGGGGAGUACGGUCGCAAGAUUAAAACUCAAAUGAAUUGACGGGG